CAAUCCUGAGGUCAGUGAUGGAGUGUCCAGGGAGCUGAAGUGUUCUGCCCCAGGCUUUUAUCAGGCACAUCAGACUGCCAAGGCUGGAUGCCACCACUGGAUCUUUUUGGAUACAGCCCUGUGCCCUGUGUAACAUAAGUGCGCCUGAGAAGUUCAAGAACUAAGUUUGCUCCCUCUGGAUUUUGUUACUGCAAAGGGGAAUAGUGCAUGGGUGCCAAGAGCAAAACAAACGUGAGGCCCAAACACUUGCACACAUCCCUAUUGGUUCAAAAUAAUAGCAGCUGGCUAUGGUUAAAAGGAAAUUACAGCACCAGACAUAGGAGGUCUUACAAGAAUAGAGUUAUAUAA
rnacentral:lncRNA from 1 species